UGAUCCCAGGAUCCCGGGAUCACAUCCUGAGCCGAAAGCGGAUGCUCAACUACUCAGCCACCCAGUUUUGCAGUCCAAGUAAAGCUACUUUAAAGUCUUUUUACAUUCCUGAAUGGAGAUGAACUGAUUAAGAAAAUCCGUGGAAAAAACCACACUGAUGGCUUAUGUGAAUGUUGGAAGACUGCAUGUGUAGAAUCUACAGAGAAGCUCACCCCGCCAAUUCCAUUUGAGACCAGUGUCUGAUGCCUGGAAGGAUGAUUUCUAUUGAAAGGUCCAUCAUAAGCUAUGAACACACCAGGGAUCAGGGCAUAUUUUUAAAUUUUUGAAAACGAAUCCUCUGUGUUUCUAUUCAAGAUAAUAAAUACAGAUUUUAAAUUA